rnacentral:sRNA from 1 species
GUCCCGAUCAGGUGGCACGCCACCUCUAC